rnacentral:misc_RNA from 1 species
GGAGAUAAAGGACUUGAACAUGGAGUCAUUGAUACUUGAUUAAUUUUCCAUUCUGCGUUAUCAUAUACUCCUGUAAUUCUUGAUGGUUAGCGAAUUGUGUUGCGGAUUCUUUGGCCAAGAUGGGGGUUAGCUCGAUCACAGGAUUUUGUUGCUAUGCUCUGAUUUGUGGGGGCUCAUUUGCGAAGCAUGCUUCCUGUCCUCCCUUUUGCUCAGUUGACAUGUCAGCUUCCCCUUGGUUUAUGCAGGAUUGGCCCUGAUGCCUUUUGCUUUGAGGUGGUCCUCUCCUUGUGGUUUUGUCUUCUUCGCUUGUCUCCUUUUCAGAAUGAAUCACGUAUCGCUUGGUUGUCUGCAGCGUUCCCUCUUGCUGCUUCUCCUUUUGUAUCUGGCCAGAAUGUCGAAUCUAGGUGUUUCAGGGGAGCCUACCGGCUAGGCUUUGUUGUUUUUCUUAAUACCACAAAUGCUGAGUGAAAAAAAUCCUGUAAUAACAUUUGCAACUGCACAUUUGUCUUGCACGUUGAAAACCUUUCAGUUUCAUCCCCAUCAGCUUCUUAGUUUCUUCUGUCAUUUGCCGUUUGUUAGAUGAAGAAGCGCAUGGGACGAAGAUUGGUUUCAUUUCUUCCAUACAAGUCUUCUCAAGUUGAUGCUCUUUUUUACUACGUGUGGGAAAACAGAAGGAAAAGAUCACCUAACUAAAAAUACAAGUUGUCAUGUUUUAAAUUUGCUUCAACUACAUGCAUCUUAGGUGAGAAUCCUAUGCAACUCCACGUCAAGACUGGUGUGAAUGAUCAGCUUGAGCUUGUUUUGAUCUAAAAUUGAGAAAAGGUACAAAAGCACCUCUUUUAACGUGUAUACUUUGUCUACAUAUUGACCUCAA